UACGUAUGGUGCAAGCGUUAUCCGGAUUUACUGGGUGUAAAGGGAGCGUAGGCGGCGUGGUAAGCCAGAAGUGAAAACCCGGGGCUCAACCGCGGGAUUGCUUUUGGAACUGCUAUGCUGGAGUGCAGGAGGGGCAGGCGGAAUUCCUGGUGUAGCGGUGAAAUGCGUAGAUAUCAGGAGGAACACCGGUGGCGAAGGCGGCCUGCUGGACUGUAACUGACGCUGAGGCUCGAAAGCGUGGGGAG
rnacentral:rRNA from 1 species